rnacentral:tRNA from 3 species
GGGAGCGUGGCCGAGAGGCCUAAGGCAGCGGCUUGCUAAGCCGUAGGUCCGCAAGGGCCCACUGGUUCGAAUCCAGCCGCUUCCGCCA